rnacentral:lncRNA from 1 species
AAUUAUAUAAACAAAUACAUAUAACAGAUUAAGCAUGUGAUCAUAUAAGAAUGAAUUGAAAAUAAAACAGUUAGGAAACACAACCUAAGCAUAUUAUAUUCUAGACUUGACUCGUCCGGACUUUAAAAUGAUAGUCGGGCUAUGGCGAGUCUUGCACCCGUGGUGACUUAUGAAACUUGGGUUCCCCACCCUGCCACACUCACGAGGUUAGUCUGUUCCGCGCCUUGAGGCAUACUGGGAGCCCCCAAGACUAAGGACCUCCUGCUACUUCUCACCACAUGCUUCAACCUCUCUAAGUGAGUUUGAUUGACCAUUGAAGCGUCAGAAUGACUCUCAAGGCUGAGCCCCUACUUUCAUUUUAAAACACUAAGAAUCUCACCAAGAGAUUCUACAUUUGAAACUACUAUAAGCAACCAUGAAAUCAUGUUUCAGUCUUUCCCAAUUCACAUACUUUUGAACCACAAUUCACACUUCCAAACAUAUGCAUUACUCCAAUCUCUCCAAAAUGAAAAUAAUAUCAUUGUAAUUAACUUCCAUUUAAUUAAAUCACAACAGCGUCAAUAACUUCCAUUUACCAUAGGCUCAAGUAAACUGAUUAAUUCACUCAUACCUGUCAAGACAUCCAAACAUAUAUGCUUUUCAUGUUACAAAUACACUCAUUUUAUUUUACAUUGAAACUAAUGUAAAGACAAUGAACCCCCUACCAACCAGGAUAUACAUUUAAACUAACACACUUAAAACAAAAAUUACUAGUGAAAUGAAAGGAACCUAUACACAAACCAUAAACUCCCUCUUAGCUCACGGACCCACCCUUAAUUAUUUGCCCAAUAUAUAUAAAAAAAAUACCAAACCAAGACUAAAGAAAAUAUCCUUCUCUGCAUUUCAUUUUCUCACGUAUUCUUCAAUCCAAAACAAAAAAAAAAACUUUCUUCUCACACCUUCCCAAGGUGAGUCCCUCACGUGGAACCCCUGACACAAACACACCCCACAUUAUAACACACACACAUAUAUAUAUAUAUAUAUAUAUAUAUAUAUAUAUAUAUAUAUAUAUAUAUAUAUCAUUCAUGCAUAAGUACAUAGAAUAAAUAAACUUACGUCACCUGCCAUUUUAAUAUAUUAUAUAUUAAUAUAGUAUAUUACAUAAGUACAAUAUCCUAGCAUGAUUCACACGUGAAUCAUUUCCCAAUAAAACUCAUUCACCGAACAUUAUUUCUUCUAUCCUGUAAUACUUCCCUGCAUCAUUAUAUUUAUUUACUUAUUUAUUUUUAUAUACCUCACAGAGUUAAGAGCACGAACUAUUUGUAUUGCCUUCCCACCUCUUUUAUCUACAGAGAUACUCUCCUUUGCAUCUCCUUUCCUUUUCCAUAUUCUAAUCUUUCUUACUUUUCAUUUCAUAACCCAUCACACUCAAUCACACUCAACAAAUUAUCAUGUCAAUUUCAAAAAGAAUAGAUUAUAACCAUCAUAACCCAUAUACAUCAAUUUAACAGUUCAAGCACCAAUUACACAAAACAGGACAAUAUAAUAUGCAAGCACACAAUUUGCACAUUCCAGAACUUAACACACCAACAUAUUAUACAGUUAAAUCAAGGUAUACAAUUGGCUCCCCUUACCUGGAAACAAGCAACAAUAAGCUCACUCAACGCUUCUAAAGUAUUCCUAGCAAUUAGGGCAUCGAGAGACCUACAAAUCACCAAUUAGGUGAUAGACUUUAGCUUUUUGAGUUGAAAUAACGAAGAAUGGAAGACAAGAUCACAUAGAGCUCAUGGAAUCAGAAAAUGGUGCGACUUAGGUCAAAAACAGUGAUAAGAAAGGGGAAANAUUUACUUACUCGAUGAAACAGUGNGAUGGUGGGUUCNAANGGAAGCCCUCGACGCCAGGAACAAUUUGAAGGCACUAAAUGAAAUUUUGUACGGUUCAAAUUUCUGAAAAAGAAGAGAGAAGGUGGAGUAGAGUUAGGGUUUGGCACUUAGAGAGAAAAGGGUUUUCUGUGGAAUGAAAUCAGAAAUGAGCAAAGGAGUUUUCCUUUUCCCCCCUAAGGCCAUGCUCUAAGUGAAAUGGGUCAGACUACCCAAUUAAGCCCAAUG